rnacentral:rRNA from 1 species
AAUAGAUACCCAGGUAGUCCACGCCGUAAACGAUGGAUACUAGGUGUAGGAGGUAUCGACCCCUUCUGUGCCGGAGUUAACACAAUAAGUAUCCCACCUGGGGAGUACGGCCGCAAGGUUGAAACUCAAAGGAAUUGACGGGGGCCCGCACAAGCAGUGGAGUAUGUGGUUUAAUUCGAAGCAACGCGAAGAACCUUACCAGGGCUUGACAUACAGAGGGAUAUGGUAGAGAUACCAUAGCUCUUCGGAGCUUCUGUACAGGUGGUGCAUGGUUGUCGUCAGCUCGUGUCGUGAGAUGUUGGGUUAAGUCCCGCAACGAGCGCAACCCGUGUUGUUAGUUGGCAGCACAAAGGUGGCCACUCUAACGAGACUGCCGGUGACAAAUCGGAGGAAGGUGGGGACGACGUCAAAUCAUCAUGCCCCUUAUGUCCUGGGCUACACACGUACUACAAUGGCUAUUACAGCAGGCAGCGAAGGAAGUAAUCCGGAGCAAAUCCUCAAAAACUAGUCCCAGUUCAGAUUGUGGGCUGCAACUCCG